AAACCCCCCAGCGUAAAAAUGGCCAAAAAACGGGUGGGCUAUAGCAUUGGUGGGGGGCGCGGGCGAAGUUCGUCCUCCGGACUCGGAAUGGGGCGAGACUUUGCGAGGGGCCUCGGGGUGCCAAAAAUAAGCCGCGGGCAAAGCCGCGUCCAAAAAUAAGCGCCCGAAGGUCGUGGUGCCAAAACCCCCCAGCGGAAAUAUGGCCAAAAAACGGGUGGGGUAUAGCCUUGGUGGGGGGCGCGGGCAAAGUUCGUCCGCCGGACUCGGAGUGGGGCGAAACUUUGCGAGGGGCCUCGGGGUGCCAAAAAUAAGCCGCGGGCAAAUCCGCGCCCAAAAAUAAGCGCCCGAAGGUCGUGGUGGCAAAACCCGCCAGCGGAAAAAUUGCCAAAAAACGGGUGGGAUAUAGCCUUGGUGGGGGGCGCGGGCGAAAUUCGUCCGCCAGACUCGGAAUGGGGCGAGACUUUGCGAGGGGCCUCGGGGUGCCAAAAAUAAGCCGCAGGCAAAGCCGCGUCCAAAAAUAAGCGCCCGAAGGUCGUGGUGCCAAAACCCCGUUUUGGAAAAAUGGCCAAAAAACGGGUGGGCUAUAGCCUUGGUGGGGGGCGCGGGCGAAGUUUGUCCGCCGGACUCGGAAUGCGGCGAGACUUGGCGAGGGGCCUCGGGGUGCCCGCGGGAAGUCGCGGGCACAGCCGCGCCCAAAAAUAAGCGCCCAAAGGUCGUGGUGCCAAAACCCCCCAGCGGAAAAAUGGCCAAAAAACGGGUGGGCUAUAGCCUUGGUGGGGGGCGCAGGCGAAGUUCGUCCGCCGGACUCGGAAUGCGGCAAGACUUUGCGAGGGGACUCGGGGUUCCUGCGGGAAGUCACGGGCAUAGCCGCGUCCAAAAAUAAGCGCCCGAGGGUCGUGGUGCCAAAACCCCCCAGCGUAAAAAUUGCCUAAAAACGGGUGGGCUAUAGCCUUGGUGGGGGGCGCGGGCGAAGUUCGUCCGCCGGACUCAGAAUGGGGCGAGACUUUGCGAGGGGCCUCGGGGUGCCAAAAAUAAUCUGCGGACAAAGCCGCGCCCAACAAUAAGCGCCCCAAGGUCGUGGUGCCAAAACCCCCCAGCGGAAAAAUGGCCAAAAAACGGGUGGGCUAUAGCCUUGGUGGGGGGCGCGGGCGAAGUUCAUCCGCCGGACUCGGAAUGGGGCGAGACUUUGCGAGGGGCCUCGGGUCAUCAAAAAUAAGCCACGGGCAAAGCCGCGCCCAAAAAUAAGCGCCCCAAGGUCGUGGUGCCAAAACCCCCCCGCGGAAAAAUGUCCAAAAAACGGGUGGGCUAUAGCCUUGGUGGGGGGCGCGGGCGAAGUUCGUCCGCCGGACUCGGAAUGGGGCGACACAUUGCGAGGGGCCUCGGGGUGCCAAAAAUAAGCCACGGGCAAAGCCGCGUCCAAAAAUAAACUCCCGAAGGUCGUGGUGCCAAAACCCCCCAGCGGAAAAAUGGCCAAAAAACGGGUGGGCUAUAGCCUAGGUGGGGGGCGCGGGCGAAGUUGUUCCGCCGGACUCGGAAUGGGGCGAGACUUUGCGAGGGGCCUCGGGUUGCCAAAAAUAAGCCGCGGGCAAAGCCGCGCCCAAAAAUAAGCGCUCGAAGGUCGACGUGCAAAAAACCCCCAGCGGAAAAAUGGCAAAAAAACGGGUGGGUUAUAGCCUUGGUGGGGGCGCGGGCGAAGUUCGUCCGCCGGACUCGGAAUGGGGCGAGACUUUGCGAGGGGCCUCGGGGUGCCCGCGGGAAGCCGCGGGCACAGCCGUGCCAAAAAAUAAGCGCCCGAAGGUCGUGGUACCAAAUUCCCCCCGGCCGAAAAAUGGCCAAAAAAUGGGUGGGUUAUAGCCUUGGUGGGGGGCGCGGGCGAAGUUCGUCCGCCGGACUCGGAAUGCGGCGAGACUUUGCUAGGGGCCUUGGGGUGCCAAAAAGGAAGUCGCGGGCACAGCCGCGCCCAAAAAUAAGCGCCCGAAGGUCGUGGUGCCAAAACCCCCCAGAGGAAAAAUGGCCAAAAAACGGGUGGGCUAUAGCCUUGGUGGGGGGCGCGGGCGAAGUUCGUCCGCCGGACUCGGAAUGGGGCGAGACUUUGCGAGGGGCCUCGGGGCGCCAAAAAUAAGCCGCGGGCAAAGCCGCGCCCAAAAAUAAGCGCCCGAAGGUCGUGGUGCCAAAACCCCCCAGCGGAAAAAUGGCCAAAAAACGGGUGGGCUAUAGCCUAGGUGGGGGGCGCGGGCGAAGUUCGUCCGCCGGACUCGGAAUGGGGCGAGACUUUGCCAGGGGCCUCGGUUCCAAAAAUAAGCCGCGGGCAAAGCCGCGUCCGAAGGUCGUGGUGCCAAAACCCCCCAGCGGAAAAAUGGCCAAAAAACGGGUGG
rnacentral:lncRNA from 1 species